GGGCAGUUAGCUCAGUUGGUAGAGCGCUUCGUUUACACCGAAGAUGUCACAGGUUCAAGUCCUGUACUGCCCACCA
rnacentral:tRNA from 1 species